CUCAGUUCUGCUGAGGCUGUGCCUAGAGAUGGGGAGAUUUUUGACUGAAAGGUGCGCUUGCUCUCUGCCUUCUGUUUUUCUCUCUUCUCUCUGUUCCUGCAAACCACAGAAGAGGCAAUGGCAAGUCUUGGUCCCCUCAGCCUCUCACCUGCACGCACGCGCACACACACACACACACACACGCACACACACAAGUCCUCAAACGUUUCAGCUCAGUGUGUGGUAUGUGCAGGGUUUGUAGGGGGUGGGAGGAGACUAAAAGCAAAUAUAACUUAAAAUGGAAGUAUACUUUUUAUAAUUUUUCUUUUUAAAACUUUGUGAAAUUAUUUCCAAAUACAUAUUUUAAUGUCACCAGAAAAGUAUUGUGUACAAUUUGGGGCAGUCACAAAAUUGUGUAUUUUAUGUUACAAUAAAGACUUCCUCUGAAGGGACAA